rnacentral:tRNA from 1 species
UCCCUGGUGGCUCAGACAGCAAAAGUAUCUGCCUGCAGUGCAGGAGACCCGGGUUCGAUCCCUGGGUCGGGAA